UACGGGGGGGGGCAAGCGUUGUUCGGAAUUACUGGGCGUAAAGAGCGCGCAGGCGGCUGGUCAAGUCCGAUGUGAAAGCUCCCGGCUUAACUGGGAAAUUGCAUCGGAAACUGAUCGGCUGGAAGGUGGGAGAGGGUAGCGGAAUUCCCGGUGUAGUGGUGAAAUGCGUAGAUAUCGGGAGGAACACCAGUGGCGAAAGCGGCUACCUGGCCCAUUCUUGACGCUGAGGCGCGAAAGCUAGGGGAGCAAACGGG
rnacentral:rRNA from 1 species